UCCGGGACGAACUAACUAACAGUUUCAAACUCGGGUUGCAAAGCCUUAACUUGGAAUCGCUAGGAAACCCGUUGUUGGACAUAUGAUCUUGGGAUUCCGGAUCUGAUCCGGGAACCUCGAGUCAAAUGUUUGGGCACAUGGUAGUAGUAUCUUCGAUCUCGUUAGAGUUCUUUAGUUCGCCGUGCAUGUUCUUGUUUUAUUGGUGCAUGGCAAACUAAUUAACUUUUACUUAUUCUGGAUCGGGGGUGUUACAACUAAGGUGGUAUCAGAGCAUGGUUCACUUUGCUCACUUGGGAACCUGUUUUCAAUAAUUUAUCGAGUCAAAGGUGUCGCAAAAGGUAGAAUAGGAAACCAACGUGCUCCUUUGUUAGAUACGUUGGGAUUAGUACUUACCCUGGGUUGUACUGCAGUAUGUUUCAAAGACGUACAAGGAGUGACCAGCCAAUGAUGACACCACCAAGAUAUGGACAAUGUAAUUCUGAAAACCGCAGAGUCUAUUCAAACCUUGAGGUAACAGAUGAUUCUGCGAUAGUACAAGGAAAUAACCAUUACUAUGAACAAGAACAUGAGUCGACCGGGAGAAAUCCGACGGAUUCACAUAUGGGCUAUGAACAAGAAAAACGAUAUGAGGAUUUCAUGGAGAUGAAUCAAGCACCUGAUAUGUAUGGAUCAAGACGGAAUUAUGCAACAACACAUAAUCCAAGGCGGAAUGAAUCUGAGUUCAUGCACCGGGAAAGGACGCCCGAGCCACGUUGUAGACAAAAACAGAGGACAGCUGGGAGUUUGGAUCCUUUUAUAGUAUUGGUGCAAGGCUUGCUAGAUAGACUUGAUCAUAGAACCAGUGAAUCAUCAGAGCGAAGACCAUCCUCCUCUCCAGAUUACCUGAAGAUGGUUACGUUAAUGAAGAAGCUUGGAACCAUUAGAUACCCUGGAGGAACAGAUCCUUUCGAAGCGUCAGCAUGGCUGAGGAAUUUGGAGAAAAACUUUCGGGCCAUCCACUGCCCUGAUAAUUUCAAGAAGGAUGUGGCAAUAUACUACUUGACCAAAUAUGCUUCUGAUUGGUGGGAUAACGUGGAAGAAUACUAUAUGGUAAGAGAGAUCGACUGGGAAGAUUUUCAAAACGAGUUUGAGGGGAAAUACUUCCCACCUGAAGCAAAACACCGGCUGGAGAUUCAAUUCUUGGAGUUAACUCAAGGCAACCGGAAAGUCAGGGAAUAUGAUGCCGAGUUUACAAAGCUAAGGAAAUAUUCUCCUUAUGGACCAAGGAAUGAAGGUGCACUAAUUCGAAGGUUUAUAAGAGGAUUGCGAGCGGAAUUGGCUAGCCGACUGUAAGUAGUGAAGUUUCAUGGCCUUUAUGAAUUGGCAGAGAUAGCGGUAAAUGUUGAAGAAGGUAUGGAAAAGGAGCAAGCCAUGAUGAAGCAUGCAGAUCCAUCUCGCAAAACUGAAGGGCUAGGAAUACGAAGAAUGAAUAAUACAGAAUAAUUUAAUCGAAGGAAAGGCCGAGGAAGAAGGAAUGACGGACGGUUUAGGAAUGGCCCAGAUGUGUGUUACACUUGUGGUGGUACAAGCCAUUUUUCUAGCAGUUGUCCUUAUAGUCAGGGAAGGAAAGCCCCUGAUUAUAUUACUUGCUUCUCUUGUGGUGAGAAAGGGCAUUAUGCCAACAGUUACCCCCAUAAGAGACAGGUUACGCUUCCAGAACCACCCACUAGACUAGCAAUUGAACCAGCCCCGAGGCGCCAGGCAGUUGCAAAGCAAGUGAAUGCUUUAGAGUUAGGAAAUCCCGAACCACAACAGCCCCAUCUGGGCCUGAUCACAGGUAAGUAGGGUUUUAACUCAUUGCUUGUUUGUGUGAAUUUGACGCAUAAAAUAUAAAAUGUGAAAUAAAUAUUGUUUAGGAACAUUGUGUGUUGGUAGAGUUUAUGUGAAUGUUCUCUUCGACUCGGGUGCCACAUAGAGCUUUGUGAUACCUGAGGUAGUGUCGAGUUUUAAGGGAACCUUUACUAGAGUAAAAGUAGGUGUUUCGAUUAGAACCCCUGGGAACCAUAACCUUCAUGCCGAUAGUUGUGUACUUGGGAUUCCAAUCCAUGUGGGAUCAAUGGUAUAUCCGGCAGACCUUCUAGUUGUUCCUUUAGUACAACACGAAGUGAUUUUGGGAAUGGACUGGCUGUCGAGAUACUACGCGCAGUUGGAUUGUGGUCGAGGAAGGAUUACACUUGAAGAAAGAGGACAACCAUCAACGACAUACUAUGGGAUAUGUCCAAGUUCUGGAGUAUAGCUUGUAUCUGCUUUAAGAUUUAAGAAGGAUUUGAUCAAGGGCGAAGUAUAUUUGGUAACUCUGACUAUCCUUGGAGGAGACUUGAAAGAAGGGACGCAGUUGGAAGAGAUACCAAUAGUAAAAGAAUACCAGGAUGUAUUCAAGCCAUUGGAAAGAUUUCCCCCACCACGAAGUGAUCCUUUUACCAUUACAUUAGAUCCGGGAGCAGCCCCAACAGCGAAGGCACCUUAUCGAAUGGAUCCAACUGAGCUUGCUGAAUUAAAGAAGCAGUUGGAAGAUUUGAUAGAAAAAGAUAUUAGACCGAGUUCUUCCCCAUGGGGAGCACCAGUCUUAUUUGUGAAGAAGAAAGACGGCACCAUGCGGUUAUGCAUCGAUUAUUGAGGGAUUAACAAUGUUACAGUAAAGGACAAGUAUCCCUUUCCAAGGAUCGAUGAAUUGUUGGAUCAGCUUCAUGAGGCAAGCUGGUUCUCAAAGAUAGAUUUGGCAUCGGGAUACCAUCAGAUCCCUAUAUCAGAGUCCGAUAUCAUGUAGAUGGCUUUUAGGACCCGGUAUGGCCACUAUGAAUUUGUGGUAAUGCCUUUUGGUCUUACAAAUGCGCCGGAUGCUUACAUGCGCUUGAUGAAUGAUUUAUUUCGUGAUUACUUGGAUAAAUUUGUAAUCAUCUUCAUCGAUGAUAUACUUAUUUAUUCCAAAAGUAAAGAGGAACAUGCAGAGCACCUCCAAAAGGUGUUGGAGCGAUUAAGAAGCCAUAAGUUGUUCGCCAAGUUUAGUAAAUGUAGCUUCUAGAAAAGGGAGAUUGGAUUCCUUGGUCAUCGAGUUUCAGAGAAGGGUGUUGCGGUAGAUCCUGAAAAGGUUGAAGUGGUUAAGGAUUGGCCACGCCCUACCAGCGCUACCGAGGUUCGAAGCUUUCUAGGAUUGGCUGGAUAUUAUCGAAACUUUGUGAGGAAUUUUUCCAUCAUGGCCAAACCCUUGACGAGGCUGACUGGGAAAGAUAUAUCAUUUGAAUGGGAUAAGAAAGAGGAAAAGGCUUUUACACAAUUAAAGGAAGCUUUGACGACAGCACAUAUUCUUGCAUAACCUACUUCCGGAAGACCUUACACCAUAUACACUGAUGCUUCUCGAGUAGGACUGGGUUGUGUGCUGAUGCAGGAUGAAAAGGUCAUCGCCUAUGGUUCAAGACAGUAAAGGAAGCACGGGGAGAAUUACCCCACCCAUGAUCUAGUGAUGGCCACAGUGGUAUUUGCUUUAAAAAUAUGGAGAUCCUAUCUUUAUGGCGAGACGAUUCAAAUCUUUACUGAUCACAAGCGUCUCAAGUAUCUCUUUACUCAGUCAGAUUUGAAUUUGAGACAAAGGAGGUGGAUGGAGUUUAUCACGGAUUAUGACUUACAAAUCCAAUAUCACCCAGGAAAGGCAAAGGUGGUAGCAGAUGCACUGAGUCGGAGGAGAAGUGAUACAGCUAUUGAGAAAGACUUAGAAGCCUAAACGCAGAAUUCAAGAUGGUUAGUCUUUCAGCCAUAGAGGGCGAGGGCAGCGAGCCAUUGGGAUUACGAGCAGUGAAUCAAGCAAACCUCUUGCAAAGAAUUCGAGAAGAGCAGAAGGAAGAUGUGAAGCUAAAGAAGAUUAUAAAAGAUCUUGAAGAAUCAGGCGGAAUAAAUGAUAGUGGGUAUCAUUUGGCUGAUGAUAGAACCCUCCUACUGAACGGAAGGAUAACAGUACCUGUAGGAAAGGAGUUACGAGAAGAGAUAUUGAGAACCGUACACCACUCAGUAUUCAGUAUUCAUCCUGGAAGCACCAAUAUGUACCAGGAUAUACGUCGAUACUAUCACUGGCUAGGAAUCAAACGAUCAGUUUCUAAGUGGGUAGCUCAGUGCCAGACAUGCCAAAAAAUUAAAGCUGACCAUCAAGUGUCGGGAGGAUUAUUGCAAAGCCUACCAAUCCCAGAAUGGAAGUGGGAGUCAGUGGCUAUGGAUUUUCUAACGAGACUACCUUGAGCCCCAGAAAGAGGGAAUGAUACUAUAUGGGUGGUGGUAGACCGACUAACUAAGACUGCUCACUUUCUACCCAUUAGAGUUGUUGACAAGGUAGAAGUACUGGCAGAACUUUACUUAAAGGAGAUACUAAGAUUACACGCAGUUCCUGCCAACAUUGUAUCUGAUCGUGACCCAAGAUUUACGGCUUAAUUUUGGAGAGCUUUUCAGCAAGUAUUGGGGACUGAUCUUCAUAUGAGUACGGCGUUUCACCCUGAAACUGACGGGCAGACGAAGCGAACAAUCAGAACCUUGAAAGAUUUGCUAAGGAUGUGUGUUUUUGACUGGUCAGGUACAUGGGAACAAUAUUUACCUUUGGUAGAGUUUUCUUAUAAUAACAGUUACCAUGCAAGUAUUGGGAUGUCCCCAUAUGAGGCAUUAUAUGGACGACCUUGCCGCACACCACUAUGUUGGUCUGAAGUUGGAGAAAUACAUAAGUUAGGACCAGAUAUAGUAGAUGAGACAACAGAAAAGAUAAAGAUUGUCCGGGAGAAUAUGAAGAAAGCUCAAGACAGGCAGAAGAAGUAUGACGAUCAGAAUAGACGUGAAGUAAUAUUUCAAGUUGGUGAUUGGGUAUAUUUGAAGGUGGCCGCACAGAAAGGGAGAGAUAGAUUCGGAAAAGUAGGAAAGUUAGCCACUCGAUAUAUAGGACCAUACCGAGUGAUGCAACGGGUUGGAGAAGUAGCCUAUCAAUUAGAGUUACCAUCAGAUAUGGCUCUUCACCCACUUUUCCAUGUCUCGAUGUUAAGAAGGCAUAUACGAGAUCCUACCAAAGUAGAGCCGCAACGAGUUGAAAACCUUCGCUCCAACCUCACUUACCCUGAAGGACCACUUCGAAUCGGAGAAAGACGAAUAAGGAAACUGAAGAAUCGAGAGAUUCCUCAAGUACAAGUAUUUUGGGGAAAACAGCGCCGAGUAAUUGUGACAUGGGAAGAUGAAGAAAGGUUUAGAGCGACUCAUCCUGAACUGUUUUUAGAAGAUGAUGAAGACCAGAUGGGUGGAACAUCAAACCACUAAGAAUUCGGGAUGAAUUCUAUUGAGAGGGGGAGAAUGUAAUAACCCUCUAUAAAGAGUAAAACGCAGACAAGGAAAAAUCAUGUAAUAGACGAGAAAAUUACUCAAGUAAGUGGAAGUCGGGUUGAUCUUUUCCUGUGGAUGUUUGUGGAUCCCAAGGUACAUAAGAAAAAUUUAGAAAGUCUUAGAAUAGUUUUCCAUUUGAAGAAAUAAAUUCUUCGGGAAGUUUAGUGGAUUGAAAAUGCUCGCGGUUCGGCCUAGAAUGUCCUAGUCGAACGAGAAAAUUAAUCGAAAAAUUUAUUAUAGGGCCUUAAGAUAGGAAUGACCUUAGAAUUAUUUUAAAAAUGUUUUGGUCUAAGAAAUCUAGGUUUUUGUCAAGGGGAAAAAUUUCCGCCAGCUCGGAUCAGCUUAUAACACGUACAUGAUUUGAAUACGGCCCAUUCGGGGCCAUCUACGAUGUGUUAAGAAUAUCUGGAAGCUUCCGGAUGAUGCAGCUGCUUGCUUACCUCCUUCAGGCAGCUGGACAUGUGCUUCUCCUUGACUGGACCACCUCCAAGCAGUUCUUGUCGCAUUUCUAUUGGAUGCUUUGGUGGCUGGCCACAAAGCUUGGUUUUAUUGGCCAAAAUUGUGGCUAAGACACCAAGCUGUCUCCUAUUGGUUGGUUUGGGAGGCAGAGACACCUCCUGCUUGCCAUGCACGACCAAAACCCUUCCAUGAGCUCAUUCUCCAGCCUAUAGAUAGCAGACCACCCCCUUAGUUCAUUCACCACUUUUAAAACCCGACCAUAGGCACCCGAGAGAACCCGAUAACACCCGAACCUUAAGGUAACUUUUUAGUCUUUAGCUUUCAUUUUUUUUAGUUAGCUUUCUGUUCUUUCUUUGCUUUCUUUUCCUUUCAUACCUUACCCUUCCUGUGUCUAGAUUUCCAAAGUUCUACAGUUUUGCGAUAAAAUUUUAAAGUGAAGCCGACCGCGAGAUAGGAGCGUUUGCAGUCAGAAACUUUCAUCUAAGUGUUGAGGUGAGUCUCGGUUAAGGGUUAUGAUUGUUGUGUGUGCGACUAGCUCCUGCAAAACAAGAGUAUUGGUUGAUGCAUUGCUAGGUUGUGCGUUUAGAUAUAUAAUGAUAUGAUAAUGAUUGAUGUUUGUGAAAGAUUUUGAGUUAUAUCGUCGGGCCUCGGCUCGAGGGGUAUAACAUGAUUGUGAUACAUUGAUGUGUGUUGCAUAUACUUAUGUCAUUGUAUUCUAUUAUUUGGGCCUCGGCUCGGAUAAUAUAACAUGUUUGAUCAUAUCUUAACAGGGAAACCCGUAAAUCCACGGACUUGAUCCGUGAGGUUCCGACACUCGGGUGGAGUGUCGUGAGAGUCAUUGGUGUCCACUCGAGGCCUGUGUCUUGUCCGGGACCUUACCAAAAUUAGUCCCGGGCAGGACGUGAAGACACAUGUGAUAGGAAUAGCUACCCUCGACCGUGUAGCUGCAUGACGAUGCGACAACUGUGUUAUCCGGGCCAUCGGCUUUUUAGACUUUGUGUUUAGAGUCAAUGGGCGCAAGAAGGGAUGUGUUAUGGAAUUCGUAUCGAGAUAGGAACCAAUGGCGAGAGGCAGUCCUCGAUGAUCGAUGAUGAUCUAACCACUCGUGAAGAGUGGAUGCUUGUUUACGUGAUUGCUUUAUUUUUGCAUUGUAUAUUUGCUUUAUUUUUGCAUUGUAUAUUUCUUAAUAUAAUUGAUCUAUGUUGCUUAAUGUUUGAUGCAUAAUGGGGGGAUAAAUAAUUGUUAGGAAACCCGACUCACUGACCAAAAUAGUUGCUCAUUAGACUCUUUGUUUUGUAGGUAACCCGUAGUAGGUUCCAUUUGGGAUCGGGGGAGCACAAAGCUGUUGGUGUAGAUUUGCUACCUUUUACAUGUACGUUUUGUAAUAUGUAAGAUACGGUUUUGAACAUCGGCCGAGCAUGUAUAAAGUUUUGAUGUGGUUGAACUUAAAGUAUAUAUGAAUAAGAAAAGGUUUGUGAAAUGCUUGGAUUCCAUAUGACACUACUCCUAGUCCGGGACGAACUAACUAACAGUUUCAAACUCGGGUUGCAAAGCCUUAACUUGGAAUCGCUAGGAAACCCGUUCUUGGACAUAUGAUCUUGGGAUUCCGGAUUUGAUCGGGAACCUCGGGUCAAAUGUUUGGGCACGUGGUAGUAGUAUCUUCUAUCUGGUUAGAGUUCUUUAGUUCGUCGUGCAUGUUCUUGUUUGAUUGGUGCAUGGCAAACUAAUUAACUUUUACUUAUUCUGGAUCGGGGGUGUUACAGGCUUGGUCGGUCGCUACGUUGCGACCGACUUGUUGCGGAUCGGUCGCUACGUA
rnacentral:lncRNA from 1 species